AAUUGGGACAUUUGACCCAAAAAGGACACCAUGUGCUCGCUCUGAAAAUAUUCAAUAUCCUCAUCAGCUAAAGGUGGGCCAUAAUAAUGUAAGGUAUGGAGCUCCUUUUUACGACAGUUCUUCGGUGCAGGAAAUCUCCUUUCGAGGUAAACAUGCCUUAGAGUAGGAAUGUCCCAUAUAGAGUUUGGUACUGGCACUGCUGGUUCCGUAGAGAAUCUGAUGUUUGUUAGGUCUAUAGUUUGCAGGUAAAGGAAUUGUCCAAUUGAAGAAGGGAGCGUGACAUCAUUACAAUCUUUUAACCUGAGAUAUCUUAUGUAAAUGCACCCACUGAUCGCCCUACUGAAAUUCAGUAGGUUCGAUUUUUCUACAUGGAGAACUCUUAGG
rnacentral:lncRNA from 1 species